rnacentral:sRNA from 1 species
AGACAUUGGUCCUCUUUGAGGAUACCACACUCCCUUGCCCUUGCUUCCAUCCCCCAUCCCUAAUAGGCUGGGCUUUGCAGGAAAUGGCAUGAAAUCAGCUCUUCUGAGUGUACAGAAGAACCUUUCGAGCAUUAUUUCUACACCCUUCUCCCCCCCUCUUUCCUCUUUGGAGGCUUCCAAGUUAGUGAUGAAUCCCAACAGCCAAUGAUGCUGGGUUUCCAGUUUAUUUCCUUCUGUUAGUUUAAUGUGCAAGUCAGUGGGGUUUUGAAUGCUGUGCAUUGAAUUUGCUUGCUCUCUUCUGUCUUUUAGCAGGUUUGGAUGCAUCUGCUCAGACUACUUCUCAUGAACUCACCAUUCCAAACGAUUUGAUUGGCUGCAUAAUCGGGCGUCAAGGCGCCAAAAUCAAUGAGAUCCGUCAGAUGUCUGGGGCGCAGAUCAAAAUUGCGAACCCAGUGGAAGGAUCUACUGAUAGGCAGGUUACCAUCACUGGAUCUGCUGCCAGCAUUAGCCUGGCUCAAUAUCUAAUCAAUGUCAGGCUUUCCUCGGAGACGGGUGGCAUGGGGAGCAGCUAGAACAAUGCAGAUUCAUCCAUAAUCCCUUUCUGCUGUUCACCACCACCCAUGAUCCAUCUGUGUAGUUUCUGAACAGUCAGCGAUUCCAGGUUUUAAAUAGUUUGUAAAUUUUCAGUUUCUACACACUUUAUCAUCCACUCGUGAUUUUUUAAUUAAAGCGUUUUAAUUCCUUUCUCUGUUCA